GAUGAACGCUGGCGGCGUGCCUAAUACAUGCAAGUCGAGCGAACAGACGAGGAGCUUGCUCCUCUGACGUUAGCGGCGGACGGGUGAGUAACACGUGGAUAACCUACCUAUAAGACUGGGAUAACUUCGGGAAACCGGAGCUAAUACCGGAUAAUAUAUUGAACCGCAUGGUUCAAUAGUGAAAGACGGUUUUGCUGUCACUUGUAGAUGGAUCCGCGCCGCAUUAGCUAGUUGGUAAGGUAACGGCUUACCAAGGCGACGAUGCGUAGCCGACCUGAGAGGGUGAUCGGCCACACUGGAACUGAGACACGGUCCAGACUCCUACGGGAGGCAGCAGUAGGGAAUCUUCCGCAAUGGGCGAAAGCCUGACGGAGCAACGCCGCGUGAGUGGUGAAGGUCUUCGGAUCGUAAAACUCUGUUAUUAGGGAAGAACAAAUGUGUAAGUAACUAUGCACGUCUUGACGGUACCUAAUCAGAAAGCCACGGCUAACUACGUG
rnacentral:rRNA from 1 species